UACGUAGGGAGCAAGCGUUGUCCGGAAUUACUGGGUGUAAAGGGAGCGUAGGCGGGGAAACAAGUUGAAUGUGAAAUCCAUGGGCUCAACCCAUGGCUGCGUUCAAAACUGUAUCUCUUGAGUGAAGUAGAGGCAGGCGGAAUUCCUAGUGUAGCGGUGAAAUGCGUAGAUAUUAGGAGGAACACCAGUGGCGAAGGCGGCCUGCUGGGCUUUUACUGACGCUGAGGCUCGAAAGCGUGGGUAGCAAA
rnacentral:rRNA from 1 species